UUUUAAGAGUGUAUGUUUUUAACAUUUAGGCCGCGUGUCGAUGCUUUUCUAACGCGAUAGAUAGCGAGACAAGGUUGGACAGUACAGUCAAGACAGAUUUUAAACAGGAGCGUAACUAGAACGUUAAUUGAAGGGGGGGGGUUCUAUUCAUAUAAUCAGUUGUGCCUUUAUAAUAUGUAGGAUUUCUAGUCCGUUGCCUAUUGCCUCAAAACAUUUACUUUCGUAGCCACCAUCGGGAUGCUAAAUUUUAUGAACGGCAUUCUAUAGUUUUUGACAUGCUGAAUUCGAAUUUCUUUGUUCCCACUCAACAAAACCCGCAGUUUUUUAGAAUUUUGACGAUGAAGAUCGUUCCCAUUUUGUUGUUUAGGCGACCAUCUUUUACAUGAAGUACUUCACAUACCGCUGUUAUUUUGAGCAGAGUCAUAUUACCGUUCAUAAAAUUUAGCACCGCAAUGGUGGCUACGAAACUUUAUUUCUAAGGACAUUUUGAUUACACAGGCAACGGACUAUUCUAAAGAAAUAAGUCAGUUACACCUGAAUAUAUCAAUACACACCCUCCCCACCCUCUAUUAAAGUUCUAUUAACGCCUCUGAUCUCAAAGUUUAUUAUUAUUAACUGAACCGAUAUAGAUAACUUUACUUUUAAGAAUGCUUAUGUCUACUAUGACAACAAAGACUUUGAAUUAUAUUUAUUCAAUUUGUCUUAUACCAACAACUUAUAAUUAUUUCUGUUAUCCCAAAGUGUCAUUUUACACAUAUUUUAUCCAUCUGUUUUCUAUGUUGAGCAUGAGGGUAAAUGAUUUUUUGAUUGUACAAACAACAACAUUAUACUGCCAUUGUUAACAGCGUCUGCUAAUGCGUGGUUGCUUAUUUUUCCUUCCUUUUAAGUGCUGUUUUGGGAGCAACUAAUAGAGAUGGUCCAUUCGGAAUGAACCAUGUAGAGUAGAAAUUAGAAUCAGUAACGUAGCCAGCCUGCAGAUUUACUUCCGCUGUGUAAAUUACGAAGGAUUACCAUUAUUCAUUUCUUUGUAGAAAUUUAUUGUUCCCAGCUGGCUACGUUACUGAUUGGAAUAGAUGAGAUAUAUGUCAUUGGGGUGAAAACAUAAAAGUAUAAGCAGUACAAAUCUAAAGAUCGUUGUUUGCGUGUAAGCGGCGACAUGAAUAUCCUUCAACCUUCCUUAUCAAAGUUAGCUACGCUACUGCGUUCGCGUGUUUGUUCAAUGUGCCGUAACGUGACAAAAACUGAUAUUGUUUCCAAACUACAUUUAACAUGCAAGAGUAAAGUCUGACCUUGUGAUUCCAUCAUUAAUAAACCCAAGUGAAAACAAUGUCUUCAGUAGGCAUGAGAUCUUAAUAAUGGAAAACGACAUUCAUCAAAUAUAAAUUGAACGACAGUAUAGUGAAUCGUUAACAGACAGUGUUUGAUAUAGAUAUAAGGAACACAGCAGCUAAAGGAAGCCAGACAGAUACUAUUAAACGACGUACUGAGGUCGAGAAGAAACGUUCAAAAAAAUUUCAACGAAAGCGUACCAAGCCU